CCUACGGGUGGCAGCAGUGGGGAAUAUUGCACAAUGGGGGAAACCCUGAUGCAGCGACGCCGCGUGAGUGAAGAAGUAAUUCGUUAUGGAAAGCUCUAUCAGCGGGGAAGAAAAUGACGGUACCUGAGUAAGAAGCCCCGGCUAACUACGUGCAAGCAGCCGCGGUAAUACGUAGGGGGCAAGCGUUAUCCGGAUUUACUGGGUGUAAAGGGGGCGUAGACGGCAGUGCAGGUCUGUAGUGAAAGGCUGGGGCUCAACCCCCGCACUGCUCUGGAAACUGUACGGCUGGAGUGCAGGAUAGGUAAGUGGAAUUCGUAGUGUAGCGGUGAAAUGCGUAGAUAUUAGGAGGAACGCCAGUGGCGAAGGCGGCUUACUGCACUGUAACUGACGUUGAGGCUCGAAGGCGCGGGGAGCAAACAGGAUUAGAUACCCGAGUAGUC
rnacentral:rRNA from 1 species